GAUGAAGAACGUAACGAAAUGCGAUAAGUAAUGUGAAUUGCAGAAUUCAGUGAAUCAUCGAAUCUUUGAACGCACAUUGCGCCCCUUGGUAUUCCGGGGGGCAUGCCUGUUCGAGCGUCAUUACAACCCUCAAGCUCUGCUUGGUCUUGGGCGUCACCGGUCCCCGGUGUGCCUUAAAAUCAGUGGCGGCGCCAUCUGGCUCUAAGCGUAGUACAUACUCUCGCUACAGACGUCCGGUGGAUGCUGGCCAGCAACCCCCAAUUUAUCAAGGUUGACCUCGGAUCAGGUAGGGAUACCCGCUGAACUUAAGCAUAUCAACAAGCGGAGGA
rnacentral:misc_RNA from 1 species